GUGAGACGCGCAUGCGUGGGCCAGGAGCUGCUGGAUGCUCCCCCAGAGAGGCUGAUGCGUUGUCUCCGUCUGCCCCCUAAAGCUAUUUUUUUCUUUCAGCGCUCAGUGGAUGCUAUCUCUGAGGAUGCAGAAAACAUGGUGCUGAAUUAUCAUCAUCAUUCAAGCUACCCUUCCCCAAAAAGCAAAAUGAACACUUCUUUGCACAGUAUUUAGAAAACAAUUUAAAGAUUUUAAAGGCUAGAGUCUUCAGUGGAAAAUUUGCCGAAAUUACAAAAUCAAUCUGACAAUGUGUGAACAGGAUCCAAGUGAUUCACCUACAACCUUCUCUCCUGCUGUGAGUGCGCAGGCUCAGGUGAGGGAAAUAGUAGGCUUUUUUCUUUCCAGCUUCACCUGAUAGGAAAAGCACAGGGAGGCAGAGUUCCACAUUCAGCAGCUUCUUGGAGCUCUGUGACCUGGUUCUGUACAAUGAGGAGAAGGGCACCCAUCCUACAGGGUAUUUGUGAGAAAUAAAUGAGAGCAAGUGUGCAUAGCAUCCAGCACAGUCCUAGGCAGAUAGAGGGCGCCCAGAAAGUCGUAGUUAUUUUCAUGCUUAGGUCCCUGGAGUCCUUACAGUACAAGCCUAGUGGAUCCAUUAAUAAUCAUAAUUAGUGGCACCUGGCUGGUUCAGUUGGCAGACCAUGCCACUCUUGACCUUGGGAGUCCUGAGUUUGAGCCCACGUUGGGGACAGAGGUUAUUUGCAAAAAGAGGGA